rnacentral:rRNA from 1 species
CUUCGGACAAUAUACAAGGUGCUGCAUGGUUGUCGUCAGCUCGUGCCGUGAGGUGUCGGGUUAAGUCCCAUAACGAGCGCAACCCUAUCAUUAGUUGCCAUCAGGUCAAGCUGGGGACUCGUAAUGAAACUGCCUACGCAAGUAGUGAGGAAGGUGGGGAUGACGUCAAAUCAGCACGGCCCUUACGUCCAGGGCUACACACGUGCUACAAUGGCCGGUACAAAGGGCAGCUACCUGGUGACAGGAUGCUAAUACUCAAAAGCCGGUCUCAGUUCGGAUCGGAGUCUGCAACCCGACUCCGUGAAGCUGGAAUCGCUAGUAAUCGCGCAUCAGCCAUGGCGCGGUGAAUACGUUCCCGGGCCUU